CGGUUUGAUUGUGUAUGACACUAACAUGCUUGAAUAUUUGUAUAGAGCAAUAAAUAUAUGUAUUAAUGCUUACUAUAGUAAUAAAGUCUUUAUGUAUUCAUUGACUAAUAUCGUUGAGGGUUACCUAUCCUGUUAUUACUUUCUUUUGGAUUACAAAUGACUUGAUAUGUAUCUGAACCAGACAAUUUGGCCAUGCUUCUUGCAACAUGCAGCAUAAAUUUUAUAAAGAUGACAUAUGAUAAUUACCCAUCUCAUUUCUAUAGUUUUUGUUGGUUCUCAUCUUAUUAGUUUUAUAGUGAAUGAAACAGUUUACAAUUCUUAAUUUGGUUGCCAAGAUCUCUGUUCUAUCUUUAAUAUUCUCAUCAAUGAAGGAACUCAUUUUGCUUUUCGUUCCCCUGCAUAUGUCUCAUAUUUUUUUUUGAAAUGUGAUGUUAUUUUGCUAUAGGAGCAUAGAAUGUAUGAUGCUCUGUCCAUGGAAUUUAUUACAGGGUAUAAGACAGGGGGAAAUGGCUGAAGGAAUUGUACACCUGGAAAGAAUUGCAAAUUUGGAAGAGCCAGAGGAAAAAAGUUCCAAAGCCCAUUAUUAUGAUGGAUUGGUAUUACUUUCAAGUGCUUUAUAUAAUGUAGGUCGCAAGGCUGAAGCUGUAAAGCAUCU